UUUUGUGAUUUGAGACGCAGAGGAAAUACAAAGUAUAAAGGAAGAAAUCCAAAAAGAAGCAAUAAAAGAUCAUCGGUCGCUGGAGGAAGGAAAAGAACUUGAGUUUGAAAGGAG